AUGGCUAACCAUUGUUCUCAUUGCAGCGUGCUCGCCCACACGAGUCAACAUGAACUUGACAUCACAGAAGACCAACUGGCAACUGCAAUUGUGUAUUUCACCGGUGUGGUAACAAACUGUUAUACUGUAGAAAAUCACCUGGAAUGCUUUAACACAGAGGUUACAAAACUGAUUGAACAGAUUGAAACUGCCCUUGAAGAGUACUAAGGAUUUCAGGUGAGCUAGUGCAGAAAUAUGCUUUCUGUAAAAAGGUUUUUAGUGGUUUUGGACUAGCAAUGCUGAUGAAAGAAUCAAUGUCAUUGAAAAUUUGCCGAAAAAUUUUAUUUUAUCAUUUUUUUAAAAUUAAGGACAAUUUAAAAAACUAUUAUAGCAAUCAGUAACAGGCAACAAGAUCAAUAGGUUGAUGAGAUGCUUCAAAUUAUAUUGUG
rnacentral:lncRNA from 1 species